AGUGGCGGACGGGUGAGUAACGCGUGGGCAACCUGCCCUGUACAGGGGGAUAACACUUAGAAAUAGGUGCUAAAACCGCAUAAGCGCACAGCUUCGCAUGAAGAAGUGUGAAAAACUCCGGUGGUACAGGAUGGACCCGCGUCUGAUUAGCUUGUUGGAGGGGUAACGGCCCACCAAGGCGACGAUCAGUAGCCGGCCUGAGAGGGUGAACGGCCACAUUGGGACUGAGACACGGCCCAAACUCCUACGGGAGGCAGCAGUGGGGAAUAUUGCACAAUGGGGGAAACCCUGAUGCAGCGACGCCGCGUGAGUGAAGAAGUAUUUCGGUAUGUAAAGCUCUAUCAGCAGGGAAGAAAAUGACGGUACCUGACUAAGAAGCCCCGGCUAACUACGUGCCAGCAGCCGCGGUAAUACGUAGGGGGCAAGCGUUAUCCGGAUUUACUGGGUGUAAAGGGAGCGUAGACGGUGAUGCAAGUCUGAUGUGAAAGCCCGGGGCUCAACCGCGGGACUGCAUUGGAAACUGUAUGACUGGAGUGCAGGAGAGGUAAGUGGAAUUCCUAGUGUAGCGGUGAAAUGCGUAGAUAUUAGGAGGAACACCAGUGGCGAAGGCGGCUUACUGGACUGUAACUGACGUUGAGGCUCGAAAGCGUGGGGAGCAAACAGGAUUAGAUACCCUGGUAGUCCACGCCGUAAACGAUGAUCACUA
rnacentral:rRNA from 1 species